GUUGUGGCGCCAGCCGCAAUGCUCGGUAGCUAUGUUCGGAAGGGAUAACCGCUGAAAGCAUAUAAGCGGGAAGCCUCUCCCGAGAUUAGAUCUCCCUGGACUUCGGUCCCUAAAGGCUCCUCCAAGACUAGGAGGUUGAUAGGCCGGAAGUGUAAGCGUAGCAAUACGUUCAGCUGACCGGUACUAAUUGGCCGUGAGGCUUGACCGU
rnacentral:rRNA from 1 species